UGCAGUCGAGGGGCAGCAUAAUGGAUAGCAAUAUCUAUGGUGGCGACCGGCGCACGGGUGCGUAACGCGUAUGCAACCUACCUUUAACAGGGGGAUAACACUGAGAAAUUGGUACUAAUACCCCAUAAUAUCAUAGAAGGCAUCUUUUAUGGUUGAAAAUUCCGAUGGUUAGAGAUGGGCAUGCGUUGUAUUAGCUAGUUGGUGGGGUAACGGCUCACCAAGGCGACGAUACAUAGGGGGACUGAGAGGUUAACCCCCCACACUGGUACUGAGACACGGACCAGACUCCUACGGGAGGCAGCAGUGAGGAAUAUUGGUCAAUGGACGCAAGUCUGAACCAGCCAUGCCGCGUGCAGGAUGACGGCUCUAUGAGUUGUAAACUGCUUUUGUACGAUGGCAAACGCAGAUACGUGUGUCUGUCUGAAAGUAUCGUACGAAUAAGGAUCGGCUAACUCCGUGCCAGCAGCCGCGGUAAUACGGAGGAUUCAAGCGUUAUCCGGAUUUAUUGGGUUUAAAGGGUGCGUAGGCGGUUUGAUAAGUUAGAGGUGAAAUUUCGGGGCUCAACCCUGAACGUGCCUCUAAUACUGUUGAGCUAGAGAGUAGUUGCGGUAGGCGGAAUGUAUGGUGUAGCGGUGAAAUGCUUAGAGAUCAUACAGAACACCGAUUGCGAAGGCAGCUUACCAAACUAUAUCUGACGUUGAGGCACGAAAGCGUGGGGAGCAAACAGGAUUAGAUACCCUGGUAGUCCACGCAGUAAACGAUGAUAACUCGUUGUCGGCGAUACACAGUCGGUGACUAAGCGAAAGCGAUAAGUUAUCCACCUGGGGAGUACGUUC
rnacentral:rRNA from 1 species